ACAGAACUCAGGGUGUGCUUCUGUACUCCAGGUCCUGCAGUCCUGCAGGUGCUGCCGGCCCCUGGUUCAGAGAUUGAGAUUUGCUUUCAGAAGAACUACAAAUCUGAGCUUCCGAGCCACCACCUGCUGCAGCUGAGAUCCCAGCAAGGAGCAGCAAGCAGGGCAGAAAUCCUUCUCCUGGCAGCAGGGAUGCUGCUCAUCCAGGAACAGCCAUGUCUGGGAGGAAAACGUUACUUAAUAAGGGCAAAUAGUUUCAAAAGCAGCAGCAGCGUACGCAGAAAGUAUUGAUUUUGAUGCCUUCAGAGACUCAGCUCUGAUUAAAAGGAAAUUAAAAGGAAAAGAAAAAUUAACAAAG